AUCCAACGCCAAAAAGAAAAAUAUUUACAAAUAUAUACAGCUUAAUUUGAAUAAUCAGUUAUUCAAUCACAACUUGAGAGGGUUUUAGGCUUCAACCACAUUCCAUUACCUCUCUCACAAGACUGGCUCAUUCUGGUCCAUCUAGGGCUUUUAUAGAGCUAAACAGGAAGUGCUAUGACGUCACUUCCGGUUUUUGCGCGGGGAAAGUUCACUAUAAAAACGCAGCAAACAAAGGGUCCUGUUUUCCUCCCUGACUGAAAACACGGCUACCUUCCUCUGGAGUCUAUUCACAGGUUUACUCUUGUUCCCCAGCAUAACCACUCAAUCAAUAAAUGCUAUUUA